UUAUGGUAGUCUCUAUAGUUUAAAGGGAGUAAGUUAUGGAUGUGAGAUGAGAGAUAUAUGUUUCUAAUCAGACCUAUUUAUGUUUUAGGGACUUAAACGAUAGACAAGGGUUAGAUGAAACUUAGGAAUAAGUUCUCUCUUGAGUAUCAAGAGGGAGUGACCCAAUUUUUAGAAUUUGCCAAAUUUCACGUUGAUGCCUACGGACGAUUAAGGUGUCCAUGCAAAAGAUGUGUGAUCAGGUGUUGGGUAGACGACCAGGCUAUUCAAAAGGCCUUGGUUGGGGAUCCAAGUUGAAAGUCCGCAAGACGAGAAGUGCGAGCAGUUCCUCGAUGCCAUGUUUGCAAUCUACAGAAAGAGAGAUUCAAUUACAAGCUAAGCUCGAUGAAGCUUUGGAAUGGAUUGAACAUAUUGAAGAGCAUACAAGAAAUCAUCAAGCAUUAGCUUCAGAAGUGGAACAAAUGCGGAAGCUGAUACAAGACAUGACUUGGGCACAGCAAGGACCACCACAUAAUCCCUAGCUUUGCGAACCCGUGGUGCAGAAUGACGUAUGAGGCUCGUUAGAAGACGUACAACUUUCUUUGCACUUUUUUCUAUCAUGAACAUAAUUAUAUUUUUUGUAUUAUGAACGCUAUUAUAUUUUUUGAACUUUUUUGUAUUAUCUAAAUUAUCAAUAUUCCGUAAUUUACUAA